CGUUAAGAAGCUAUGAAACAGCGCUAGCCUUUUAAGCUAGAGAUAGAGGAACCCCCCUCCUCCUUAAUGA
rnacentral:tRNA from 1 species